CUACCUCGAAGUGAUUUGAGCGACUUAUAUUGGUCAUACAAGUCAUUUUGUAUUUUCAGUAUUGGAUGGUUACGGUUAUUACAUCAUUGCCUUACUCACAUAAGUGAUCUAGAAGGAAUGAUGGCAAGUGCAGCUGCACCUACUGCUAAUCUGCUGCAGACUUGUGCGGCCUUAUUGAUGUCACCUUACUGUGGAAUGCAUUCACCCAACAUCGAGGUUGUGCUUGUAAAGAUAGGACUGCAGUCUACUAGAAUUGGCCUGAAGCUCAUAGACAUUCUCCUGAGAAAUUGUGCAGCAUCAGGCAGUGAUCCUACAGAUUUGAAUAGUCCUUUACUUUUUGGAAGACUAAAUGGACUCUCUUCUGACUCUACGAUAGAUAUUCUUUACCAGCUUGGAACAACUCAGGAUCCUGGUACAAAAGACAGAAUUCAGGCCUUGUUAAAAUGGGUUAGUGAUUCUGCAAGAGUGGCUGCUAUGAAGAGAAGUGGCAGGAUGAACUACAUGUGUCCUAACUCCUCAACAGUAGAGUAUGGUCUUCUGAUGCCAUCUCCUUCUCAUUUGCACUGUGUAGCAGCCAUUCUG
rnacentral:sRNA from 1 species